rnacentral:rRNA from 1 species
UGCAGUCGAGCGAUGGAUUAAGAGCUUGCUCUUAUGAAGUUAGCGGCGGACGGGUGAGUAACACGUGGGUAACCUGCCCAUAAGACUGGGAUAACUCCGGGAAACCGGGGCUAAUACCGGAUAACAUUUUGAACYGCAUGGUKCGAAAUUGAAAGGCGGCUUCGGCUGUCACUUAUGGAUGGACCCGCGUCGCAUUAGCUAGUUGGUGAGGUAACGGCUCACCAAGGCAACGAUGCGUAGCCGACCUGAGAGGGUGAUCGGCCACACUGGGACUGAGACACGGCCCAGACUCCUACGGGAGGCAGCAGUAGGGAAUCUUCCGCAAUGGACGAAAGUCUGACGGAGCAACGCCGCGUGAGUGAUGAAGGCUUUCGGGUCGUAAAACUCUGUUGUUAGGGAAGAACAAGUGCUAGUUGAAUAAGCUGGCACCUUGACGGUACCUAACCAGAAAGCCACGGCUAACUACGUGCCAGCAGCCGCGGUAAUACGUAGGUGGCAAGCGUUAUCCGGAAUUAUUGGGCGUAAAGCGCGCGCAGGUGGUUUCUUAAGUCUGAUGUGAAAGCCCACGGCUCAACCGUGGAGGGUCAUUGGAAA